rnacentral:ncRNA from 1 species
CCCAUCGCUCCUACUGAUUGAAUGAUCCGGUGAAAUAUUUGGAUUAUGCCGAUGUGGGCGGUUCGCUACCUGCGACGUGACGAGAAUUUCAUUGAACCUUAUCAUUUAGAGGAAGGAGACGUCGUUA